rnacentral:rRNA from 1 species
AGGUGCGAUCAUACCAGCACUAAUGCACUGGAUCCCAUAAAAACUCCGCAGUUAAGCGUGCUUGGGCGAGAGUAGCACUAGGAUGGUGUCCACCUCUUGGGAAGUCCUCGUGUUGCACCUC